rnacentral:rRNA from 1 species
UAACGUAGGGUGCAAGGCGUUGUCCGGAAUUAUUGGGCGUAAGGAGCUCGUAGGCGGUCUGUCGCGUCGGCUGUGAAAACCCGGAGCUCAACUCCGGGCCUGCAGUCGAUAACGGGCAGACUGGAGUUCGGCAGGGGAGACUGGAAUUCCUGGUGUAGCGGUGAAAUGCGCAGAUAUCAGGAGGAACACCGGUGGCGAAGGCGGGUCUCUGGGCCGAUGACUGACGCUGAGGAGCGAAAGCGUGGGGAGCGAACAGG